rnacentral:sRNA from 1 species
CUCACUCUCCGGGGCCCGGUCUGCGCCCAGGCUGAACACCACCAACUCCUGGGGCGCAGCUCCUCCUUCCCUGGGGAGCCAGCCCCUCUACCGCUCCAGCCUCUCCCACCUGGGACCGCAGCAUCUGCCCCCAGGAUCCUCCACCUCCGGUGCAGUCAGUGCCUCCCUCCCCAGCGGUCCCUCGAGCAGCCCGGGGAGCGUCCCUGCCACUGUGCCCGUGCAGAUGCCAAAGCCCAGCAGAGUCCAGCAGGCGCUCGCAGGAGCGACCCCGAAGCCAGAGCCAGAGCCAGAGCAGGUCAUAAAAAACUACACAGAAGAGCUGAAAGUGCCCCCAGAUGAGGACUGCAUCAUCUGCAUGGAGAAGCUGUCCACAGCAUCUGGAUACAGCGAUGUGACUGACAGCAAGGCAAUCGGGCCCCUGGCUGUGGGCCGCCUCACCAAGUGCAGCCACGCCUUCCACCUGCUGUGCCUCCUGGCCAUGUACUGCAACGGCAAUAAGGGCCCUGAGCACCCCAGUCCCGGAAAGCCGUUCACUGCCAGAGGGUUUCCCCGCCAGUGCUACCUUCCAGACAACGCCCAGGGCCGCAAGCCUCCAGGGGCUUCCAGAACCCGGAGACACUGGCUGACAUUCCGGCCUCCCCACAGCUGCUGACCGAUGGCCACUACAUGACGCUGCCCCUGUCUCUGGACCAGCUGCCCUGUGAUGACCCAUGGCGGGCAGCGGAGGCGCCCCCGUGCUGCAGGUGGGCCAUGACCACGGCUGCCACCAGCAGCCCUUCUGCAACGCGCCCCUCCCUGGCCCUGGACCCUAUCGAUCUAAAGCUUAAGGACUAUGGAGUGGAUCUCAUUGAAGUUUCAGACAAUGGAUGUGGGGUAGAAGAAGAAAACUUGGAAGGCUUAA